rnacentral:tRNA from 1 species
GUUUAAAUAGUUUAAUGGAAAAUGUUGGUUUGUGAUACCAGAGAUGUGGGUGUCUGCUUUAAACC